ACCACAAAGUCAAUAUUCACCAAUAUGGCGAGGAAGGUUUUAGCACUGGUAGAAGCAUAAGCAGCCACAUCCAGUAAGGGGGUAGGGGCCAUGCCCCACACUCUGGCCUGACCUGUUUAGUCAACCUUCCACAAGUGUAGGGCAGAGGUUGCAGUGAGCUGAGAUCAUGCCCCUGCACUCCAGCCUGGGCAAUAGAGUAAGGCUCUGUCUCAAAAAAAUUAAUUAAUUAAUUAAUUAAA
rnacentral:lncRNA from 10 species